rnacentral:rRNA from 1 species
GAUGAACGCUGGCGGCGUGCCUAAUACAUGCAAGUCGAGCGAACAGACGAGGAGCUUGCUCCUCUGACGUUAGCGGCGGACGGGUGAGUAACACGUGGAUAACCUACCUAUAAGACUGGGAUAACUUCGGGAAACCGGAGCUAAUACCGGAUAAUAUAUUGAACCGCAUGGUUCAAUAGUGAAAGACGGUUUUGCUGUCACUUCUAGAUGGAUCCGCGCCGCAUUAGCUAGUUGGUAAGGUAACGGCUUACCAAGGCGACGAUGCGUAGCCGACCUGAGAGGGUGAUCGGCCACACUGGAACUGAGACACGGUCCAGACUCCUACGGGAGGCAGCAGUAGGGAAUCUGCCGCAAUGGGCGAAAGCCUGACGGAGCAACGCCGCGUGAGUGAUGAAGGUCUUCGGAUCGUAAAACUCUGUUAUUAGGGAAGAACAAAUGUGUAAGUAACUAUGCACGUCUUGACGGUACCUAAUCAGAAAGCCACGGCUAACUACGUG